AUUGAACGCUGGCGGCAGGCCUAACACAUGCAAGUCGAACGGUAACAGGAAGCAGCUUGCUGCUUCGCUGACGAGUGGCGGACGGGUGAGUAAUGUCUGGGAAACUGCCUGAUGGAGGGGGAUAACUACUGGAAACGGUAGCUAAUACCGCAUAACGUCGCAAGACCAAAGAGGGGGACCUUAGGGCCUCUUGCCAUCGGAUGUGCCCAGAUGGGAUUAGCUAGUAGGUGGGGUAACGGCUCACCUAGGCGACGAUCCCUAGCUGGUCUGAGAGGAUGACCAGCCACACUGGAACUGAGACACGGUCCAGACUCCUACGGGAGGCAGCAGUGGGGAAUAUUGCACAAUGGGCGCAAGCCUGAUGCAGCCAUGCCGCGUGUAUGAAGAAGGCCUUCGGGUUGUAAAGUACUUUCAGCGGGGAGGAAGGGAGUAAAGUUAAUACCUUUGCUCAUUGACGUUACCCGCAGAAGAAGCACCGGCGAACUCCGU
rnacentral:rRNA from 1 species